rnacentral:rRNA from 1 species
CACGUGGGUAACCUACCUAUAAGACUGGGAUAACUUCGGGAAACCGGAGCUAAUACCGGAUAACAUUUAGAACCGCAUGGUUCUAAAGUGAAAGAUGGUUUUGCUAUCACUUAUAGAUGGACCCGCGCCGUAUUAGCUAGUUGGUAAGGUAACGGCUUACCAAGGCGACGAUACGUAGCCGACCUGAGAGGGUGAUCGGCCACACUGGAACUGAGACACGGUCCAGACUCCUACGGGAGGCAGCAGUAGGGAAUCUUCCGCAAUGGGCGAAAGCCUGACGGAGCAACGCCGCGUGAGUGAUGAAGGGUUUCGGCUCGUAAAACUCUGUUAUUAGGGAAGAACAAAUGUGUAAGUAACUGUGCACAUCUUGACGGUACCUAAUCAGAAAGCCACGGCUAACUACGUGCCAGCAGCCGCGGUAAUACGUAGGUGGCAAGCGUUAUCCGGAAUUAUUGGGCGUAAAGCGCGCGUAGGCGGUUUCUUAAGUCUGAUGUGAAAGCCCACGGCUCAACCGUGGAGGGUCAUUGGAAA